rnacentral:rRNA from 1 species
GGGAGGCAGCAGUGAGGAAUAUUGGACAAUGGUCGAAAGACUGAUCCAGCCAUGCCGCGUGCAGGAUGACUGCCCUAUGGGUUGUAAACUGCUUUUAUACGGGAAGAAAAACACCUACGUGUAGGUGACUGACGGUACCGUAAGAAUAAGGACCGGCUAACUCCGUGCCAGCAGCCGCGGUAAU